CAGCCGCCGCGGUAAUACAGAGGGUGCGAGCGUUAAUCGGAUUUACUGGGCGUAAAGCGUGCGUAGGCGGCUUCUUAAGUCGGAUGUGAAAUCCCUGAGCUUAACUUAGGAAUUGCAUUCGAUACUGGGAAGCUAGAGUAUGGGAGAGGAUGGUAGAAUUCCAGGUGUAGCGGUGAAAUGCGUAGAGAUCUGGAGGAAUACCGAUGGCGAAGGCAGCCAUCUGGACUAAUACUGACGCUGAGGUACGAAAGCAUGGGGAGCAAACAGGAUUAGAUACCCCUGUAGUCCCUGUCUCUUAUAA
rnacentral:rRNA from 1 species